GUUUACACACAGUGAAACACAAUUAAUAAUAAAAAGAUAUAUUAUUGAUAUGAUUUCCAAAUCAUUAAAUUUAUAAAUUACUAAUUCUAUAUGUGAAUUAAUUACUAUCAGUUUAAUUAAAGUUAUUAAAUUAUUUAAUUUGAUUAAGUGAAAAAAAAAGGAAAACUUUUUUAGUGUGAGGGAAAGUAGAGAAAAAAGAGAGGGC
rnacentral:lncRNA from 1 species